rnacentral:lncRNA from 1 species
UGCAAUCAAUUAAGGGAACCUGGAGGGAAGAAGAAUGAGAAAUAUGACACUGCUAUUGUAGUUGGAGAACGGGCACAUCCAAGAAGACGACGUCGUCGUUGCCGUCAGUCUCAAGCCCAAUUUCAUACCCAAGCUCUUCAUAAUCACUCCCAAAAUCCAUUAUACUCUGUUUACCCUCUUCCUUAUCUUGUAUAUUGCGCACAACCAUAUGUUCAACUCCCUCCUUACAUAAAAUGGCGCGCACCAACUCCUCAAAGUCAUCCUUCAAUUCCCCAAACAUACUGAAGCCCUUCUAGGCCCGAUGUUCGAUCCAAGUUAAACAAUGAAAUGAGGCAGAAAUUGAGGGAUAGUUUCACACCAAUUGGAGAGUCAUAUGCCAGUUUAUUUCAUAGAUUGGCACA